UAUCGUAAGUUUUUUUUUUUUUUUUUUUUUUUUUUUUUUAUUGCGUCUUCGGGCGACGGCGGCGAUCGUAAAAAAUCGCGAAGGUUUUCUUCUCGUUCGAAAGAGACGUACGCAAAAAAAAAAAAAAAAAAAAAAAAAAAAAAAGAACAACCACAGUGGUUUGGUUGUAUUUUAUUU